rnacentral:rRNA from 1 species
CAGUAGCCGCGGUAAUACGUAGGUGGCGAGCGUUGUCCGGAAUUACUGGGCGUAAAGGGAGCGCAGGCGGACAUAUAAGUCCAUCUUAAAAGUGCGGGGCUCAACCCCGUGAGGGGAUGGAAACUGUAUGCCUUGAGUGCAGGAGAGGAAAGCGGAAUUCCCAGUGUAGCGGUGAAAUGCGUAGAUAUUGGGAGGAACACCAGUGGCGAAGGCGGCUUUCUGGACUGUAGCUGACGCUGAGGCUCGAAAGCCAGGGGAGCGAACGGGAUUAGAUACCCCUGUAGUCCCUGUCUCUUAUACA